AGCUUUCUGAAUGCGUGCUGAGAUUUCGUGAGACACAAACCGAUUAGGGCUGAUGAGACUUCGAAGAUAAGUGAGGUU
rfam:Schistosoma margrebowiei strain Zambia genome assembly, scaffold: SMRZ_contig0001332